AUUGAACGCUGGCGGAAUGCUUUACACAUGCAAGUCGUACGGCAGCACGGGGGCAACCCUGGUGGCGAGUGGCGAACGGGUGAGUAAUACAUCGGAACGUGCCCAGUCGUGGGGGAUAACGUAGCGAAAGCUACGCUAAUACCGCAUACGAUCUCUGGAUGAAAGCGGGGGACCGCAAGGCCUCGCGCGAUUGGAGCGGCCGAUGGCAGAUUAGGUAGUUGGUGGGGUAAAGGCUCAACAAGCCGACGAUCUGUAGCUGGUCUGAGAGGACGACCAGCCACACUGGGAAUGAGACACGACCCAGACUCCUACGGGAGGCAGCAGUGGGGAAUUUUGGACAAAGAGCGCAAGCCUGAUCCAGCCAUACCGCGUGCAGGAUGAAGGCCCUCGGGUUGUAAACUGCUUUUGUACGGAACGAAACGGUGCUCUCUAAUACAGGGCGCUAAUGACGGUACCGUAAGAAUAAGCACCGGCUAACUACGUGCCAGCAGCCGCCGUAA
rnacentral:rRNA from 1 species